rnacentral:rRNA from 1 species
GAUGAACGCUGGCGGCGUGCCUAAUACAUGCCAGUCGAGCGAACGGACGAGAAGCUUGCUUCUCUGAUGUUAGCGGCGGACGGGUGAGUAACACGUGGAUAACCUACCUAUAAGACUGGGAUAACUUCGGGAAACCGGAGCUAAUACCGGAUAAUAUUUUGAACCGCAUGGUUCAAAAGUGAAAGACGGUCUUGCUGUCACUUAUAGAUGGAUCCGCGCUGCAUUAGCUAGUUGGUAAGGUAACGGCUUACCAAGGCAACGAUGCAUAGCCGACCUGAGAGGGUGAUCGGCCACACUGGAACUGAGACACGGUCCAGACUCCUACGGGAGGCAGCAGUAGGAAAUCUUCCGCAAUGGGCGAAAGCCUGACGGAGCAACGCCGCGUGAGUGAUGAAGGUCUUCGGAUCGUAAAACUCUGUUGUUAGGGAAGAACAUAUGUGUAAGUAACUGUGCACAUCUUGACGGUACCUAAUCAGAAAGCCACGGCUAACUACGUG